GUGAAGAUGCUGGUUGAGAUCAUGUGAGUGGUAAGUCAUGUUACCUAGUAAUGUUAGCUGUACAGAGUAUAGAACUGUUCCUGGUAUCCUCUACGUGGUUUAUCUGUACAUGGCAGUUCCUAGUGUCCUUCACGUGGUUCAGCUGUAAAGGUUAUUCGGCAGUUCCUGAUACCCUCCACGUGGUUUAACUGUAUAGGUUAGUUCAUGGUAUCCUUCAAGUGGUUUAACUGUAAAGAUUAUAGGUCAGUUCGUGGUAUCCUUAACGUGGUUUAACUGUAUAAGUCAGUUCAUGGUACUCUCCGCGUUGUUUAACUGUAAAGAUUACAGGUCAGUUCAUGGUAUCCUCCAC